ACAGAGGGUGCGAGCGUUGUCCGGAAUCACUGGGCGUAAAGGGCGCGUAGGUGGCUUGGUAAGCGUGCGGUGAAAGCUCGGGGCUCAACCCCGAGUCGGCCGCGCGGACUGCCGAACUCGAGCGUAGUAGAGGCAGGUGGAAUUCCGGGUGUAGCGGUGGAAUGCGUAGAGAUCCGGAAGAACACCGGUGGCGAAGGCGGCCUGCUGGGCUACUGCUGACACUGAGGCGCGACAGCGUGGGGAGCAAACAGGAUUAGAUACCCUGGUAGUCCACGCCGUAAACGAUGGGUACUAGGUGUCUGGGGGAACGACCCCCUGGGUGCCGGCGCUAACGCAUGAAGUACCCCGCCUGGGGAGUACGGCCGCAAGGCUG
rnacentral:rRNA from 1 species